AUUGAACGCUGGCGGCAGGCCUAACACAUGCAAGUCGAGCGGAUGACGGGAGCUUGCUCCUUGAUUCAGCGGCGGACGGGUGAGUGAUGCCUAGGAAUCUGCCUGGUAGUGGGGGACAACGUUUCGAAAGGAACGCUAAUACCGCAUACGUCCUACGGGAGAAAGCAGGGGACCUUCGGGCCUUGCGCUAUCAGAUGAGCCUAGGUCGGAUUAGCUAGUAGGUGAGGUAAUGGCUCACCUAGGCGACGAUCCGUAACUGGUCUGAGAGGAUGAUCAGUCACACUGGAACUGAGACACGGUCCAGACUCCUACGGGAGGCAGCAGUGGGGAAUAUUGGACAAUGGGCGAAAGCCUGAUCCAGCCAUGCCGCGUGUGUGAAGAAGGUCUUCGGAUUGUAAAGCACCUUAAGUUGGGAGGAAGGGUUGUACGUUAAUACCGUGCAAUUUUGACGUUACCGACAGAAUAAGCACCGGCUAACUCUGUGCCAGCCGCCGCGGUAAAAC
rnacentral:rRNA from 1 species